AUUGAACGCUGGCGGCAGGCUUAACACAUGCAAGUCGGACGGUAGCACAGAGAGCUUGCUCUUGGGUGACGAGUGGCGGACGGGUGAGUAAUGUCUGGGGAUCUGCCCGAUAGAGGGGGAUAACCACUGGAAACGGUGGCUAAUACCGCAUAACGUCGCAAGACCAAAGAGGGGGACCUUCGGGCCUCUCACUAUCGGAUGAACCCAGAUGGGAUUAGCUAGUAGGCGGGGUAAUGGCCCACCUAGGCGACGAUCCCUAGCUGGUCUGAGAGGAAGACCAGCCACACUGGAACUGAGACACGGGCCAGGCUCCUACGGGAGGCAGCAGUGGGGAAUAUUGCACAAUGGGCGCAAGCCUGAUGCAGCCAUGCCGCGUGUAUGAAGAAGACCUUCGGGUUGUAAAGUACUUUCAGCGGGGAGGAAGGCGGUGAGGUUAAUAACCUCGCCGAUUGACGUUACCCGCAGAAGAAGCACCGGCUAACUCCGUGCCAGCCGCCGCAGUAA
rnacentral:rRNA from 1 species